CGAGGUCUUGACGAUCCAGUCGG
rnacentral:miRNA from 8 species